rnacentral:misc_RNA from 1 species
UCGCAUGCGCCCACCUAACAAAUAAAAGAUUACCAAGUCACAGGCUGAAUGAUUUUGUUAGGGAACAGCUGACUAGGCUGUGUGGAUGAGGAUUUGUUUCUCUGGGGACAUUAUCCGAAGAAAGAUCAUGUCUGAAAGCGAACAAGACGUUGAAGAUCCGGAUCAAUUGGUUAUUUGCCCGUACGAUUCCUCUCACAAGGUAACAGCCGCUCGAAUGGGACAUCAUUUGAUGAAGUGUAGAGGAAACUUUCCGAUCAGUGAAAAGGCCAUAUGUCCGUUCAACGACAAACAUGAGAUUUUUGCCCCAGAAAUGGACUAUCAUCGAUCAGUCUGUCCUCACAAACCAGUAGAAAGUGAAAUACAGCAAGAUGUUAACGACACGAUCGACACUGAUGGGGGAUUUCCGAAAGACAAAUUAUUGGGAAGUUUUUCAUCUGGAACUUCUUUUAAUUUUUCGUCGGGCGAAGCGAAUGCGACCGGAUGCGAGAGUGGGCUUGAUGUAGUAGGCGGCAUACGAAAUUUCAUUGGAGAAGUAGAUGAAAUUGGUACGAUGGUUUUUAACGAACCAAAUGGCGAAAACCAGCACGCGCAAAACAGAUUAGGCCAAGACUAUCGUGAUAUGGAGGAAAACGAUUUAGUUUUACCCAUAGUCGAAUUAAAGUCGCCCAACCACAAUAAAUCAAUUGAAAAGCAAUUAGAACAAUCGGAAAGUGACAUAACUUCUAAAACUAACAGCUCCAUAGAAAGCGAUGAAAGGUUCUGUGAAGAGGAACGGUUUGACUACACAAAAUACAUACCUAGCAAGGAUCUUAAAGAGGACUUUCUCAAGUUGAUUGGUCAACCCAGAAAUGGCCAGGUGUACGAGACCAAAUGUCAGUCUGGAGGUCAGUCAUUUGCCGUUCAACAAUGGCCACAAGGUUACAAUGCUCUCCCCGCGCUAUUUCAAACCAAUAAUGGUUUCCAGGCGACCGGAAUACAACCAACUUUUGUUUCAUUUAACAUGAUGCCACCAGUAGCAUCAUGCCAGCUUCCCUACACAAGCUCGUAUGGUUUCCAUAACCAGACUCCUGGUCCAGGAUUCCUUCAGGCACCAGGUCAAGGAUUAGGCUACGACUACACUGGGUAUCCAUCAGCCAGGCCUAGCUACUAUCGAUCUUACUACCGACGUCGAAACUACUACAGUUCUUCUCGUUACAGUAACCACAAAAGCUACAACACUCAAAACCAUGAAAACCAUGAAAACCAUGCUGAAACAUUCUUCAAUGGCUUAAACCAGUCAGAGAUUGGUUUGGGUGAAAGUAGUUGUUAUCUAAACAAAUUAAAUGGUACAAAAAUUCAUGAUGAAAUACCAACUUCCCACUCUCUGUGUAUCAGCAAUGGGUGUGACAAAGAGCAACCGUUAUUACCUCCACAUCUCAGCAAAAACAAUUUUUAUUUCAAGAAUAAGGUGGAUGAUGUUGAUGGGCAGGAGCAGCUUGCUGGUUUUGAUCAAGUUCCCAACAAAAUAAUCACUGGAGACUCUAGUGCUGAAGGAAUGGCAAAUCACCAUGGCUCUCAACAAGACUUAAAAAGAAAAGAAAUUGAGAAGCAGAUCCGUAAAAUUAAAAAGAAAUUGGCUGAGAUAAAUGGUCUGGAAGAGAAGUACCAUAAGGGUGCUAGCUUGGACUGCGACCAACUAAAGAAGAUGUCAAGAAAGGGUGAAUUUGAAGAUCAACUGCAGUCACUUAAUUUGCCAUAGGAUUAAGUGGACAAAGUUCCUGGAAACAAUGGAUUGCCUGUAGAAUUUUACAAGACUUUUUGAGAUAGGCAAGAUGUCUUCUUUCAAGCGAUUAGGCCAUUUUAAGGAAGCUGCUGUGUUAUUUACUUGUCAGUUGUCAACCAGUACUUACUCCCAGUGAAACAGAUCAGCAUGGAACAUCCCAUGGAUUUGAAAGGGUAACCAAGGAUUCAAGUAACUGAUAUGGAGGUGCACCGACCAUUUGUCUCUGGUAUUGCACUAAGUUAAUGGGGUGUAGGUUCAAUAGUAACAUCUCUUGUGAUGUUUGUUAAGGGAUUUUUUUUGGUCCUUUAUUUGUUAUGUAACUUAUUUGGAUAUAUCUUGGGGUGGUACAUCUUACACCUUCCUGUCACUUUUGUCUUUGAUUAACUCCAAGGGAGGGAUACUGCUGAUUGGACUGGACUCAUUGUAUUGUCUCAGUGUUAGUAUGUUUAAACUUUUAUCUUUUACCAUGACCAGCCAGUUUUAGAAUAAGACAUGCUUUGACUGAAUGUCUGUUUUAUGAAUAAUAAUUAUUAAACAAUUAUUGUUUAAGAAUUGUCAUUGACUGACUUGUGACUGAAGUCUCAAGCCUUGGGAACUGAAAAACAAUGCACCUACAAGUAUCGUGAAGAUUACUGUGAGGUACCAUACAACAGAGCUUCCAAGAGCUCAGCUACAUCACAAAAAAAUUGUUCAAUAUGUACACCAUUUUUUUCAUUUGUGAGUUAUAUUAUAUACAUUCUACAUACAUUCAUACUAAAUGAUCUUGCAUAGACUUAAAUUAGAUUUUGCUCAGGAAAGUUUACAAAUUUUACUUACUUACAUUUACCAUCUGGCAUGUAUUUUGACAGUUUCAUCUGGUUAAUUGUGAUAUGUUAACAUAUGAUUUUCUCCACCAAAUUAAUUUGUCUGAAGGAAACUGCAAUUUGCUUGAUUGGCAG